rnacentral:lncRNA from 1 species
GCCUUUUUUUGGCAAAUCAAUAGAGAAGAACCAAAAAUUAAGCUAAGAUACUGGCUAUGCCAACAAGUAAGCAUGAA